CCAUUAGCCAUCAGCCAUACACAACUCUCAGCUGACGGAGGCUACUGUGGUGGUGCUUGCUGCACAGCGCGCACCUUUGUUGUGGGGGGACGAUGUUUGUGCGUCCAUGCAAAGUUUAGCCACUAACCUCAACAUUAUCGGCAAGGGAGUGAAGCACGGCGUCGGCGGACUCAUGAAUCUAGCCGCGGAAGGGGGUGAACACACCCCAUACAUCGCGUACGUGAAUUUCAACCAAGACGGCACGUCACUCUCGGUUGGGACACAGUCCGGGUACAAGUUUUUUUCUCUGGCAAAUGUGGACAAGCUCGACCAGAUAUACGAAAAUGACGAGGAAGGCAUGGCCCUGGUCGAGCGGCUCUUUCUGUCCAGCUUGGUGUCUCUCGUCAGUACCGGGUCUCUGCGCAAGCUCAAGAUGUGCCACUUCAAGAAGGAGUCGGAGAUCUGCAACUACUCCUACAGCAACAGCAUCCUGGCCGUGCGGCUCAACCGGGCGCGCCUCGUCGUGUGCCUCGAGGAGAGCCUCUACAUACACAACAUUCGGGACAUGAAGGACGGGAAAUGGUCGCAGGUCCUGCACACGAUCCGGGAGACGCCGCCCAACACAAAAGGCCUGUGCGCCCUGUCGCCCUCGAGUGACAACUGCUACCUGGCCUACCCGGGCUCGGACAACUUCGGCGAGGUCCAGAUCUUCGACGCACUCAACCUGCAAGCGAAGGUGAUGAUCCCAGCCCACAACAGCGCACUGGCCGCCCUCGCGUUCAACUCUACGGGAACGCUGAUUGCAACAGCUUCCACGAAGGGCACGGUCAUAAGAGUAUUCUGUGUCGCUGAUGGACAGAAGCUGUACGAAUUCAGGAGAGGCAUGAAGCGGUGCGCCGACAUCUAUUCACUGGCGUUCAGUGCCGACUCUCUAUUCCUGUGUGCGUCGAGCAACUUUGAGACGGUGCACAUUUUCAAGCUCGAGGACCCGAAGGAGGCCAACAAGGUGGCCGAAGAGCCUGGCACCUGGAUGGGUUACCUGGGCAAGGCCCUCAUGCAGAGCGCCUCGUACCUGCCCACGCAGGUGACCGACGUGUUCAACCAGGGCCGGUCGUUCGCCACGGUCCACCUUCCCUUCAGCGGAGUGCGCACGGUGUGCUGCCUCAGCACAAUUCAGAAAAUACCCAGGGUACUGGUGGCUACCAAGGACGGCUACUUGUACGUCUACAACUUGGAUCCCGUCGAGGGUGGCGACUGUACCCUGUACAAACAGCACAGGCUGGAUGGUCGCGAAGCCACGACAGCACCACCGUCGCAGUCUGGCGAUGCGACCCCGGACCAAGCAACCGCGCAGGGAGCGUCUCAACCAACUCCGGCUGCACGCAAGCCGGACUCGCAGGGGUUGUCGAGCUACGCCGCUGUAGUGCGAGGUUAUCAGGACCAUACUCCGGCAGAUGCUGCUGGAAUGGUGUCUUUGUCGCCUCCGACCAACACCGCGUUGCGCCUCACCGAUGACUCGGAGUUUCCGCCAGUGUCGCAGAAGUGCGAUUGAGGUGCCCUCUGCUGCUCCCCUUGCGCCAAGAUCCAUCCGGUGACAAGUGAAGGUGACAGAAGUGAAGGCAGUUGCAGGGAUGGUCACCAGUGGCAUCAGUUCGACUCAACCGCAAAGCACAGCGCUUGGCUCGCCCACACCUCGUGCCAUUGCUUUCGUCGCUUCUGCUUCUGUAUCAAAGACGUGCACACAUGUGGGCCUCCGGUACUUUCUGGCCGGUGCGGCGACUCCGUCGAGAGAUUUGUGCGGUCUCCUUUCGCAGAAGCAUGUUGGAACUCGCCAACUUCUCUUCUGGAACACGAAGAGAAGGCGUCAUCUGUCGAAAGCCAUCUGCAGAUGCACGUUCCAUGUGACGGCAAAAGGACGAAACGUCUUUGUUCAGAGUAUUUUAUCUUAUUUGGCUCCAGCUGACAGGGAUCAAGUUUUGCUGGAAGGUUUUAUUUUUUUUUUUUUGGGGGGUGAGGUUUGAAAUGGAGUG
rnacentral:misc_RNA from 1 species